rnacentral:lncRNA from 1 species
GGUUAGAGUCGGCUCUGCCGGGAGAAAGCGAUUCCAGAAUUCCCUAAGUUAAAGGAAUUUCUUACUCCUUCUUGAGCGCCAUCCAAGGGCCAGGCCUUAGUCUAGGAACUGGCAACACCGUGGCGACCACGUCAGACAAGAUCGCUGCCCUCAUUGAGUUCCCAGGUUGGCAGGGGAAACAAAAAUGUAAUAAAUAACUGCACUUUGCAAGAAGAGCUAUGAAGAAAAAACAGGGUGAUGGGAGAGAGAAUGCUUGGAUGUUGAAGGGAGGCCUUUCUGAGAUGGCGACAUCUUGAGCUGAAUAAAGAAGGAUGAGAAAGGAUGGGGCUUGCAAAGUUCUGGCUUCAAAGAAUUCCAGGCAGAGGGAACAAGAGUGAAGUCUCCAGGGGAAGCCAGCUUAGUGUUUGGAGACUAGAAAGAAGGGGUGUGCGGCUGGAAGAUGGUGAGUAGGGACAAGUGGGGUCAGACUCAUCCAUAGACUGGAUGGCUUAUACACAACAGAAAUUUUUUUCUCACAGUUCUAGAGGCUGGGAAGCCUUAGAUUAAAGCACCCGCAGAUUCAGUGUCUGCUGAGGGCCUGCCUCCUAAUUCAUAGAUAGCACUUGAUAUGGUUUGGCUCUGUGUCCCCACCCAAAUCUCACCUUGAAUUAUAAUCCCCAUAAUCUCCACAUAUCAAGGGUGAGACCAGGUGGAGGUAACCAGAUCAUGGGGGGCAGUUUCUGGCAUGCUGUUCUCACGAUAGUAAGUCUCAUGAGAUCUGGUGGUUUUAUAAGCGUCUGGCAUUUCCCCUGCUUGCACUCAUUCCCUGUCCUGCUGCCCUGUGAACAUGUGCCUUCCACCAUAAUUAUAAGUUUCCUGAGGCCUCCCCAGCCAUGCGGAACUGUGAGUCAAUUAAACCUCGUUUCUUUAUAAA